rnacentral:lncRNA from 1 species
ACGAUCAUGGGGUAGAGGGAGAAGGAUUGGAACAGGAGGUGACUAGAGAGGGGCCUUGUAAUUUAUUGCUUUGUUCCCCAACAUGGGGAUGGGGUGGGUAGGGGCGAGGGGAGGGCAUAUCAGGGUAGGGGAAGCCAGGGGUGGGCAGGGGUGGGGUAGGGUGGGGGUGCUCUCGGGUUGUGUCUGUGACCGUGACUGCGUACCUGUGACUGUGCAGCGCCCGUGGUGAUCUGGGGUAGGGGGCACCCCUACAACGGGACCCCUCCCCCAUAAUCCUUUCUGUCCAGCCCCUCUCUCCCUGGAGCAGCUCCAGGUCCGUUUUUUCUAUCCUUUGCUCCCUCCCAGCCAGGGCUGAGAGGGUGUGUAGUGGUUGGGAGGACUUUAAGGUCCUGGCCCCCAUCCCCAGAAAGGGAGAGGUGGUGUGGACUUAUCUGGCCCAGCCCUGCCACCCUUAGUCAGCCCGGCUUUGGGCUGUCUGUGUCAGUGGUUUCCGGUCUUUUUUUUUUUUUUUUUUUUUUUUUUUCCUGGCUAAAAUAUUUUGCAAAAGACCAGGUAAUUGGGGAGUGGAGUGAAGAGGGGGCAGGGGUUACCCCCCUCACCUCCAAAGCAGGUGGUGUGAAUCUUAACAGCAAUUAAAGAGCAAGUGAUUUUGUCU